rnacentral:rRNA from 1 species
GACGAACGCUGGCGGCGUGCUUAACACAUGCAAGUCGAACGGAAAGGCCUGCUUUCCCUUGUGGAUUGCGGGUACUCGAGUGGCGAACGGGUGAGUAACACGUGAGUGAUCUGCCCCCAACUUGGGUAUAAGCCUGGGAAACUGGGUCUAAUUCCCGAUAGGACUGCAGGGUGGUGCCUGUGGUGGAAAACGAUUUUCUAGUGGUUGGGGAUGAGCUCGCGGCCUAUCAGCUUGUUGGUGGGGUAAUGGCCUACCAAGGCGGCGACGGGUAGCCGGCCUGGGAGGGUGGACGGCCACAUUGGGACUGAGAUACGGCCCAGACUCCUACGGGAGGCAGCAGGGGGGAAUAUUGCACAAUGGGCGGAAGCCUGAUGCAGCGACGCCGCGUGGGGGAUGACGGGCUUCGGGUUGUAAACUCCUUUCGACCGCGAGGAAGCCACCUGGUUGGAAGGGUGGUGACGGUAGUGGUAGAAGAAGCACCGGCUAACUACGUG